GACGCCUCUGGCGGCCGAUGCUCCAGAUCACUAUGGGUCAGAGCGACCGUUUGGGAUGACUGAGGUCUGGAGGGAGUG
rnacentral:tRNA from 1 species